rnacentral:rRNA from 1 species
GAUGAACGCUAGCUACAGGCUUAACACAUGCAAGUCGAGGGGCAGCAUGGUCUUAGCUUGCUAAGGCCGAUGGCGACCGGCGCACGGGUGAGUAACACGUAUCCAACCUGCCGUCUACUCUUGGACAGCCUUCUGAAAGGAAGAUUAAUACAAGAUGGCAUCAUGAGUCCGCAUGUUCACAUGAUUAAAGGUAUUCCGGUAGACGAUGGGGAUGCGUUCCAUUAGAUAGUAGGCGGGGUAACGGCCCACCUAGUCUUCGAUGGAUAGGGGUUCUGAGAGGAAGGUCCCCCACAUUGGAACUGAGACACGGUCCAAACUCCUACGGGAGGCAGCAGUGAGGAAUAUUGGUCAAUGGGCGAGAGCCUGAACCAGCCAAGUAGCGUGAAGGAUGACUGCCCUAUGGGUUGUAAACUUCUUUUAUAAAGGAAUAAAGUCGGGUAUGGAUACCCGUUUGCAUGUACUUUAUGAAUAAGGAUCGGCUAACUCCGUGCCAGCAGCCGCGGUAAUACGGAGGAUCCGAGCGUUAUCCGGAUUUAUUGGGUUUAAAGGGAGCGUAGAUGGAUGUUUAAGUCAGUUGUGAAAGUUUGCGGCUCAACCGUAAAAUUGCAGUUGAUACUGGAUAUCUUGAGUGCAGUUGAGGCAGGCGGAAUUCGUGGUGUAGCGGUGAAAUGCUUAGAUAUCACGAAGAACUCCGAUUGCGAAGGCAGCCUGCUAAGCUGCAACUGACAUUGAGGCUCGAAAGUGUGGGUAUCAAACAGGAUUAGAUACCCUGGUAGUCCACACGGUAAACGAUGAAUACUCGCUGUUUGCGAUAUACUGCAAGCGGCCAAGCGAAAGCGUUAAGUAUUCCACCUGGGGAGUACGCCGGCAACGGUGAAACUCAAAGGAAUUGACGGGGGCCCGCACAAGCGGAGGAACAUGUGGUUUAAUUCGAUGAUACGCGAGGAACCUUACCCGGGCUUAAAUUGCAGAUGAAUUACGGUGAAAGCCGUAAGCCGCAAGGCAUCUGUGAAGGUGCUGCAUGGUUGUCGUCAGCUCGUGCCGUGAGGUGUCGGCUUAAGUGCCAUAACGAGCGCAACCCUUGUUGUCAGUUACUAACAGGUUCCGCUGAGGACUCUGACAAGACUGCCAUCGUAAGAUGUGAGGAAGGUGGGGAUGACGUCAAAUCAGCACGGCCCUUACGUCCGGGGCUACACACGUGUUACAAUGGGGGGGUACAGAGGGCCGCUACCACGCGAGUGGAUGCCAAUCCCCAAAACCUCUCUCAGUUCGGACUGGAGUCUGCAACCCGACUCCACGAAGCUGGAUUCGCUAGUAAUCGCGCUUCAGCCACGGCGCGGUAAAUACGUUCCCGGGCC